rnacentral:rRNA from 1 species
CCUACGGGCGGCAGCAGUGGGGAAUAUUGGGCAAUGGAGGCAACUCUGACCCAGCAACGCCGCGUGAAUGAUGAAGGUCUUCGGAUUGUAAAGUUCUUUUCUAAGGGAAGAAGAAAGUGACGGUACCUUAGGAAUAAGACUCGGCUAACGACGUGCCAGCAGCCGCGGCAAUACGUAGGAGGCAAGCGUUAUCCGGAAUGACUGGGUGUAAAGGGUGCGUAGGUGGUUGGACAAGUUAGUAGCGCAACUCCGGAGCUCAACUUCGGAACUACUACGACGACUGUUGGACUUGAGUGCAGGAGCGGUAGUCGGAAUUGCUGGUGUAGCGGUGGAAUGCGUAGAUAUUA